rnacentral:rRNA from 1 species
CCUACGGUGGGCAGCAGUAGGGAAUCUUCCACAAUGGACGCAAGUCUGAUGGAGCAACGCCGCGUGAGUGAAGAAGGUUUUCGGAUCGUAAAGCUCUGUUGUUGGUGAAGAAGGAUAGAGGUAGUAACUGGCCUUUAUUUGACGGUAAUCAACCAGAAAGUCACGGCUAACUACGUGCCAGCAGCCGCGGUAAUACGUAGGUGGCAAGCGUUGUCCGGAUUUAUUGGGCGUAAAGCGAGCGCAGGCGGAAGAAUAAGUCUGAUGUGAAAGCCCUCGGCUUAACCGAGGAACUGCAUCGGAAACUGUUUUUCUUGAGUGCAGAAGAGGAGAGUGGAACUCCAUGUGUAGCGGUGGAAUGCGUAGAUAUAUGGAAGAACACCAGUGGCGAAGGCGGCUCUCUGGUCUGCAACUGACGCUGAGGCUCGAAAGCAUGGGUAGCAAACAGGAUUAGAUACCCGUGUAGUC